rnacentral:rRNA from 1 species
UAAGGAAUAUUGGUCAAUGGACGCAAGUCUGAACCAGCCAUGCCGCGUGGAGGAUUAAGGCCCUCUGGGUUGUAAACUCCUUUUAUCUGGGAAGAAAUGUACUUUUUCUUGAGUACUUGACGGUACCAGAGGAAUAAGCACCGGCUAACUCCGUGCCAGCAGCCGCGGUAAUACGGAGGGUGCAAGCGUUAUCCGGAUUCACUGGGUUUAAAGGGUGCGUAGGUGGGCAGGUAAGUCAGUGGUGAAAUCUCCGGGCUUAACCCGGAAACUGCCGUUGAUACUAUUUGUCUUGAAUAUUGUGGAGGUAAGCGGAAUAUGUCAUGUAGCGGUGAAAUGCUUAGAUAUGACAUAGAACACCAAUUGCGAAGGCAGCUUACUACACAAUCAUUGACGCUGAGGCACGAAAGCG